AGGAAGUUCUGUAUCUAGGCAUCCUCCAUGUCUCAGGUGAAACGUUUCAGUGGUUUUCUUGCUGUGUCCCAUGUGCCUAGCAUCUGAGCAAGAGGAGGAUACGCGAAUUGUACCAUGGAACACGGAACUGGGUGUGUGGCUUUGUUUUCUGGGCAAAGAUCUGUGGUUUGGCCGUACGUGAGAUGAGUUGCAAUGCUCGUGUGCAAAAGCACUCAAGAUCUGAAGGAGGAAAGAAUCAUAAAGAAGCGCGCCCCAUUGACUCCAGCAACGCCUUUCACUGGGAAUUUCUUGCUCGGGAGGUCCAGCUGCAGCCAGGUGUCGGAUCACACCAUCAAAUACAUCAUUCAUCUGACUGGCUAAAUGCCGUGAUACAUAGGCAUUUCAGACUUCUAUUGACUGAGCAUUACGGUACCGUGAACCAUGUCUAAGGAGCAAUCGGCUGAGUCCUGACCAAGGCCUGUCUUCCUUGUGGUGGGGGAGUUACUUGCCUUCCAACAAAGCAUUCAAAUGAGAUGCUAGUAAAACUUGUGAUGACAGGGGCGUUUCUUUGAAUUAUGUGUUCUGCUCUUUGUCCGUUUUACUGUUGCUCUUAAUUUUGGCAUCCCUGGUUGAUCGUAAUUGGUGGAUGCAAGGCAGGAGGCUGUUGGCUGUAUCACGUUAAGUGAAGCAAUCCCAGUAGAGAUCAGGGGAGUUCUGCUAACGAUCUGGGACUUCUCUACACAUAAAGUUGCAAUGCUUUUCACUAGUCUUGAGGAUGCAGCAGUGCACAUGUAACAGGUAAUGGCCGGUAGCGAUGCAAAUAGAGGAUGGCCGGGGAAUACAGUCCAUUCUGUAACUCCACCCAAAGUAUGAUUUUCCAAGAGAUUGUUACGCCCCAGUGACAGAUGUGGAUGUUCUUUCUGCACUCCCUGCUGGAGCAGCUUGUGAAGCAUAAGAACAGAUGCAAGUGAUAGGAACCAAACAAAAA